GUGCUCCCUUUGGCGGUACAUGUUCUAAAAUUGGAGUGAUAGAGAGGAGUAGCAGGGUCCCUGUGUAAGGGUGACAUGCACAUUUGUGAAGCAGUUCAUAUUUUU
ensembl:snRNA U6 U6 spliceosomal RNA